GAGCAGCAGGCUGUAGCACAGGUCUUGUAACAUCUUGUUAGGCAGGCCUGUGCCAUGUUGUGAUGUGAGUUGAAUUGAUCUGUCUUAUGUUGUUUGUGAGAUUUAAGGAAACAGAUCUUUGUGAAAUUCUUUUUUAGUACAAUAUGUGUAUAAGAGAGUUGCAGGAUGCACUCAGACAAGAAACCCUCCUGGCUCUUGCCUCUUCUCAAGCAGAAGCACCACAAAGUGAUGACGGCAGCACCAGUGGAUCUAACAGCUCUGACUCUGACGGGCCUCCAGCCCACCUUAAAGCCUUAAAGAUGAAAAGGUCAAUCAAGUCCAAGAAGCAGAGAGACUGUUCUUGUCUAGUGAGGCAAGGAGAGGAAACCCCCGAAGAGAAAAAGGAUGGUGAUGUCAAAGGGGAGGGUGAAUAUACCUUAAAGCCUCUACGAGUUCCUCAGCAUAUGCUCCGGAGAAGAAAACGGGAUACUCCACGCGAGCCCACUGAUGCCAACACAAAGAUGUCUGUACUAUAUUUGGUCUUUGAUAAAGAGAAGGGGUCAAUGAAAUCAAAGUCAGAAUACUUGCGUCAUCUGAUGUCAGGCUACAUUAGGAGCAGGAUACAGCUGGGGCUGGGAAACAGUCUGAGUGGUUUGGACUUAGGUCCGGUUCAGGUGUGCGUCCAGCAGGAACAGAGUGAGUCCUCCAUCACUCCAUCAUCCUCCAUCACUCCAUCAUCCUCCAUGUCCUCAGGGGUGCCAAGAAAAACAAACCAUGGGAGGGGGUGCAAGUCACACACCACACCCUCCACUCUACCUGUAAUGACCAACAGACAGGGGGAAUGCAGGACAGCCCAGUGUAAGUGUGAACUGUGGCAUGCUGUGGGUAAGGACCAGGGGUCAGCCACAGACAGGAAGUCAACGCAUAUGACU
ensembl:lncRNA